GAUGAACGCUGGCGGCAUGCCUAACACAUGCAAGUCGUACGAGAGUUUUUAACUCAAGUGGCGGACGGGUGAGUAACGCGUGAGAAUUUGCCUCUAGGAGGGGGACAACAACUGGAAACGGUUGCUAAUACCCCAUAUGCUUUCGAGUGAAAUGAAUUUAUUCGCCUAGAGAGAAGCUCGCGUCUGAUUAGCUUGUUGGUGGGGUAAAAGCCUACCAAGGCGACGAUCAGUAUCUGGUUUGAGAGGACGAUCAGACACACUGGAACUGAGACACGGUCCAG
rnacentral:rRNA from 1 species